rnacentral:rRNA from 1 species
UACGGAGGGGGCGAGCGUUAUUCGGAAUUAUUGGGCGUAAAGAGCUCGUAGGCGGCUUGUCGCGUCGGAUGUGAAAGCCCGGGGCUUAACUCCGGGUCUGCAUUCGAUACGGGCAGGCUAGAGUUCGGUAGGGGAGAUCGGAAUUCCUGGUGUAGCGGUGAAAUGCGCAGAUAUCAGGAGGAACACCGGUGGCGAAGGCGGAUCUCUGGGCCGAUACUGACGCUGAGGAGCGAAAGCGUGGGGAGCGAACAGG